rnacentral:piRNA from 1 species
UAGGACACAUGUACUCUGCUUUAGGCUCA